GUGCUCACUUAUGCAGCACAUAUAUACUAAAAUUGGAACGCUACAGAGAAGAUCAGCAAAGCCCUUCUGUAAGGAUGACAUGCAAACGCAUGAAGUUGUCCAUGUUGUC